UGCCAGCCGCCGCGGUAAUACAGAGGGUGCGAACGUUGUUCGGAAUUACUGGGCAUAAAGGGCGCGUAGGCGGCCUGUUAAGUGUGAAGUGAAAUCCCACGGCUCAACCGUGGAACUGCUUUGCAUACUGGCAGGCUCGAGGACGGUAGGGGAGAGCGGAACUCUUGGAGGAGCGGUGAAAUGCGUAGAUAUCAAGAGGAACACCAAUGGCGAAGGCAGCUCUCUGGUCCGUUACUGACGCUGAGGCGCGAAAGCCAGGGUAGCGAACGGGAUUAGAUA
rnacentral:rRNA from 1 species